AGCUAGUUGGUCGGGGUAAUGGCCCACCAAGGCGUAGAUGGGUAGCUGGUCUGAGAGGAUGACCAGCCACACUGGAACUGAGACACGGUCCAGACUCCUACGGGAGGCAGCAGUAGGGAAUUUUGCGCAAUGGGCGCAAGCCUGACGCAGCAACGCCGCGUGUGGGAUGAAGGCCUUCGGGUCGUAAACCACUGUCGGAGGGGACGAAUGGCUUUGCGGUUAAUACCCGCAGAGCGUGACGGUACCCUCAAAGGAAGCACCGGCUAACUCCGUGCCAGCAGCCGCGGUAA
rnacentral:rRNA from 1 species